UUCAGGAUUCAGACCCUGUUUCUGUCACCUUCUAUUUUUGCUUCCCAUUUGUCCGUACUUGCUUGAAGGGGUUUCAUCUCUCAUCCUGAGACUCUCUCCUUCCAUUAAUGGAUAUUUCAAAUUUGGAAAGAAUUCAAGAGACUGCAGUAAGGAGAUGUCCUUCUGUCUGUCACACAUAGCUGGCUCUUAUUUAAGAAUGACAGGUGGCCAGCUGCAGCGGGAAAGAGAGGCAGAGGGAAGAAGCAGGAGCCCUUCGCUGAAUCUCUAAUAAUAAUCUGUUAAAGAGGAAAAGAAAAAACAGCUGCACUUAGAAAAGAAGCCCUCCAUAGGGAAGAAGAAU
rnacentral:lncRNA from 11 species